rfam:Lactobacillus florum 8D Contig00033, whole genome shotgun sequence.
UUAUUAAUAUAUGAAUCGCCUAAGACUCAGGUGACCGAUUGGUCUUAAUUUUGCCUGCCGAGGAGUUUAACGACUUUUCCCUGUGUUUUAGCGAGCAUGGGGAUUUUUUAUGCGAUUU